UACGGAGGGGGCUAGCGUUGUUCGGAAUUACUGGGCGUAAAGGGCGCGUAGGCGGCGAUUUAAGUUAGGCGUGAAAGCCCCGGGCUUAACCUGGGAACUGCGCUUGAUACUGGAUUGCUUGAGGACGGGAGAGGGUAGUGGAAUUCCCAGUGUAGAGGUGAAAUUCGUAGAUAUUGGGAAGAACACCAGUGGCGAAGGCGACUGCCUGGCCCGUUACUGACGCUGAGGCGCGAAAGCGUGGGGAGCAAACAGG
rnacentral:rRNA from 2 species